GCACUGCUGAGGAGUCCCACAAUAGGACGAACCAGCCGUCCAGUGC
rfam:Schistosoma mansoni, Puerto Rico, WGS project CABG01000000 data, contig: 0062